rnacentral:rRNA from 1 species
UACGUAGGGCGCAAGCGUUAUCCGGAAUUAUUGGGCGUAAAGAGCGUGUAGGCGGUCCGGUAAGUCGGCUGUGAAAGUCCAGGGCUCAACCCUGGGAUGCCGGUCGAUACUGCCGGACUAGAGUUCGGAAGCGGCGAGUGGAAUUCCCGGUGUAGCGGUGAAAUGCGCAGAUAUCGGGAGGAACACCUAUGGCGAAGGCAGCUCGCUGGGACGUUACUGACGCUGAGACGCGAAAGCGUGGGGAGCGAACAGG